AAGGUUUGGAGAAACUCUCUUAUCCAGCAAAUGCUGAUAAACACCUCCACUAAACAUUGAUGAUGUGGCAGAUUCGAGAAUGCUCCCUAAUCCCCAACAUUCAUUUACUCAUUUAUUCAUUCAUUCAUUAAUUAAUUCAUUUGUUUGGAAUUUAUAAGUUUUCCACAUCCAGCAGCCUAAGACCAAGAUUGCAAAAGGGAAGAAGGAGUUGCUUUUGUCGGCCGAGGGACA
rnacentral:lncRNA from 1 species